GCUGGGGAGAACAGAGCUGGUUUGACGAAGUGGAGAGGCGCUCAAUGUUGGUCUGGCCACGCUUUGGGCAUGCGUGAGCGCUCACAGCAAAACACAGCUGGCAUGUCUAAUUUUAGCCUUGACUGCCUUGAAAAGGGACCCUUAAAGGAAAUAUAUUUUCGCUGAAACCAUUUGUAUUAUAAUGUAACAGCUGACAGACAUGUCAGAAUAUUACUUAUUAUUGGUGGGGAAAAACUCUGUCAGGUAAUUGUGCUUUUUUUUGUGAUGACAUCGGGAAAGUGAUUAAAGCAUCCCUGAAUCAAAAUCAUCAUAGAUAGACAGUGAGAGAACCAGAGCUUUUAUUUAUGAAGACGCCUGUAAACCUAAUGGGAUACCUCCUUUGAUGCUUACAAAACGGAUGUAAGGGAAAUACUGCAGCUUUCUGGACUGCAUACCCUGCUCCCUGGAGAGGUUCCACCCACCGGCUGGAAGGAGAGGAAGUGAAUGAAAGGACAGGAGGAGCCCGAACACCAUGUCACUCUGGAAGGGAGACAGCAGCAACCAGGCUGUGCAAGUGAGUGGUGGAAGACGAAGGAUCUCUGAAGCCUCAUCAGUCAUCGGGACCAUCAGGAAUAGUGGUUUAAGAGGACGC